GAUGAUGCGAGUGGCUGAAUACCUGGAUUGGGAUGUGUCUGAGCUGAGGCCGAUUCUUCAGGAGAUGAUGAAAGAGAUUGACUAUGAUGGCAGUGGCUCUGUCUCUCAAGCUGAGUGGGUCCGGGCUGGGGCCACCACCGUGCCACUGCUAGUGCUGCUGGGUCUGGAGAUGACUCUGAAGGACGAUGGACAGCACAUGUGGAGGCCCAAGAGGUUCCCCAGACCAGUCUACUGCAAUCUGUGCGAGUCAAGCAUUGGUCUUGGCAAACAGGGACUGAGCUGUAACCGUGAGUAAUGGGAGCUGGGAGGUAGGGGAAGAGGGUCAGCCCAGCUAUCUGUGGGAGCUUGACGCUGUAAACUUAGAAAGACCUAGGUUUGAAUCCUGGGCUCUGCCACUGACUAGUUAUGUGACCUUGGGAAAGCCACAUCACUUCUUUAAGCCUUAGUUUCCUCAACUGAAAAUGAGGUAAUUGUGAGCAUUAAAAAAGCUGGUGCAAGAAAAGUGCUUCAGAUGGUGCAUGCACAUACUAUAAGAUGCAAUAAAAAAUAUCUAUUAUGAUUACUGUUGCUGUUAGACCUGGGCCUCCCAAGCAUUAUCCAGCUCAGUUCCUGCCUGGCACAUGGAUGGUGUGGGGCAGGCAUGCAGUAGCAGCUGAUCUUUUAGGAGGAAGAGUAAGGAAAAGGCGUGGGUUUUGGAGGUGGGCACUUCACCCCGAACUUUUAUUCUGCUACACCCUCAAGCAAGGGAUCACAUAUCUGAUCCUGCCUCACCCUCAGGUAAGAAGGAAAUAGGGGGAGAGGCUCAGCUAAGCCUCCCAACUUCUUCCUUCUCCCUCAGUCUGUAAGUACACUGUUCACGACCAGUGUGCCAUGAAAGCCCUGCCUUGUGAAGUCAGCACCUAUGCCAAGUCUCGGAAGGACAUUGGUGUCCAAUCACAUGUGUGGGUGCGAGGAGGCUGUGAGUCCGGGCGCUGCGACCGCUGUCAGAAAAAGAUCCGGAUCUACCACAGUCUGACCGGGCUGCAUUGUGUAUGGUGCCACCUAGAGAUCCACGAUGACUGCCUGCAAGCGGUGGGCCAUGAGUGUGACUGUGGGCUGCUCCGGGAUCACAUCCUGCCUCCAUCUUCCAUCUAUCCCAGUGUCCUGGCCUCUGGACCGGAUCGUAAAAAUAGCAAAACAAGCCAGAAGACCAUGGAUGAUUUAAAUUUGAGCACCUCUGAGGCUCUGCGGAUUGACCCUGUUCCUAACACCCACCCACUUCUCGUCUUUGUCAAUCCUAAGAGUGGCGGGAAGCAGGGGCAGAGGGUGCUCUGGAAGUUCCAGUAUAUAUUAAACCCUCGACAGGUGUUCAACCUCCUAAAGGAUGGUCCUGAGAUAGGGCUCCGAUUAUUCAAGGAUGUUCCUGAUAGCCGGAUUUUGGUGUGUGGUGGAGAUGGCACAGUAGGCUGGAUUCUAGAGACCAUUGGUCAGUGCAGGGAGGGGCGUGGGGAAGGUAUUGGGGUCGUAGUCUUGCAGAGCUAACUCACUCCAUCCUUCUCUUCACCUGCCUCCGCAGACAAAGCUAACUUGCCAGUUUUGCCUCCUGUUGCUGUGUUGCCCCUGGGUACUGGAAAUGAUCUGGCUCGAUGCCUAAGAUGGGGAGGAGGUAAGUGGUUAGAAAUUGUUUUGCUGUAGGCUGAGAGGAGUUGUGUAGGAAGGGAAAGGCACUUAGAGAAGAAACUAGGCAUCUGGUAUGGAAAGGAUUGGGGAAGAAGAGGGGCACAGACAGGUGGAUACAAAAGUGGAAUGUCCAAAAAGAAGAGAGCUUUGGAAGAAGCAGGACCACAGUCUGAACCUAGAAGGGUCAAGGGUGAUAGUCCCCUUUCCUGUAAAUAUUUUUAUGUUUCUCCCAACCAACUCUUACGGCUCAGAGAAUCAAGGAAUAUGGGGGUGGGGAACAAUGUGUGAAUAAGGAAGGUUGUAUAAGAGCUAAGCCAGAUGCUGAGUGAUGGAGCUAGCAGGGAGCUUGGUCAUGACUCAUUCACUCAUUCAAACAAU
rnacentral:sRNA from 1 species